rnacentral:rRNA from 1 species
AUUGAACGCUGGCGGCAGGCCUAACACAUGCAAGUCGAACGGUAACAGGAAGAAGCUUGCUUCUUUGCUGACGAGUGGCGGACGGGUGAGUAAUGUCUGGGAAACUGCCUGAUGUAGGGGGAUAACUACUGGAAACGGUAGCUAAUACCUCAUAACGUCGCAAGACCAAAGAGGGGGACCUUCGGGCCUCUUGCCAUCGGAUGUGCCCAGAUGGGAUUAGCUAGUAGGUGGGGUAACGGCUCACCUAGGCGACGAUCCCUAGCUGGUCUGAGAGGAUGACCAGCCACACUGGAACUGAGACACGGUCCAGACUCCUACGGGAGGCAGCAGUGGGGAAUAUUGCACAAUGGGCGCAAGCCUGAUGCAGCCAUGCCGCGUGUAUGAAGAAGGCCUUCGGGUUGUAAAGUACUUUCAGCGGGGAGGAAGGGAGUAAAGUUAAUACCUUUACUCAUUGACGUUACCCGCAGAAGAAGCACCGGCUAACUCCGUG